GUGCUCGCUUUGGCAGCACAUAUACUAAAAAUUGGAAUGAUACGGAGAUUAGCAUGGCCCCUGCACAAGGAUGAGACACAAAUUUGUGAAGCGUCCCAUAUUUUU